GAUCCUCCCUGCAUCCAAAGGCCUCCUCAGUCUGCAGUUCCAGCUCCAGCCCCUCACAGUGCUUUUCAAGCCAUGCUUCCUGUGCCCCCAGUGGGGCCCUGGCUGGGAUAUCAUCAUAUACUGUAAGUUUGCGAUGAGACACUACAGUAUAGAUGAUGUACUAGUCCGGGCACCCCCAGCUCUGGAGCCUGACAAGGAGGACAGGAGAGAUGCUGCAAGCCCAAGAAGCUCUCUGCUCAGCCUGUCACAACCUACUGACUGCCAGGGCACUUGGGAAUGGCAAGGAAACCGUUACCAUUACUGAGUUUAGUAAUGGUAAUGGUUCUCUUGCUAUACCCAGAAAACGUGCCAGGAAGAGAACUCAGGACCCUGAAGCAGACUACUGGAAGGGAGACUCCAGCUCAAACAAGGCAGGGGUGGGGGCGUGGGAUUGGGGGUAGGGGAGGGAAUAGAUACAUUUUCUCUUUCCUGUUGUAAAGAAAUAAAGAUAAGCCAGGCACAGUGGCUCACGCCUGUAAUCCCACCACUUUCAGAGGCCAAGGCAGGAGGAUUUCUUGAGCCCAGGAGUUUGAGACCAGCCUAGACAACAUAGUGAGACUCAGUCCCUAAUAUUAAAAAAUAAAAAUAAAUAAAUAAAAGGAAUAAAGAUGAGAACCAGAAUGCUUAUAUUUUAUUAGUAUCCAAG
rnacentral:lncRNA from 10 species